rnacentral:tRNA from 1 species
GGGGGGUUAGCUCAGUUGGGAGAGCGCCAGCUUCGCAAGCUGGAGGUCGCCAGUUCGAAUCUGGUACCCUCCACCA